rnacentral:rRNA from 1 species
GAUGAACGCUAGCGGGAGGCCUAACACAUGCAAGCCGAGCGGCAUUGUUUCUUCGGAACUGAGAGCGCGGCGUACGCGUGCGUAACACGCGUGCAACCUGCCUCUAUCUGGGGGAUAGCCUUUCGAAAGGAAGAAUAAUACUCCAUAAUAUACUGAACGGCAUCGUUUAAUAUUGAAAGCUCCGGCGGUUAGAGAUGGGCACGCGCAAGAUUAGCUAGUUGGUGAGGUAACGGCUCACCAAGGCGAUGAUCUUUAGGGGGCCGGAGAGGGUGAUCCCCCACGAUGGUACUAAGGCACAGACCAGACUGCUACGGAGGGGAGCAGUAAGGAAGACUAGGCAAGGAAUGCAAGCCUGACCCAGCCAUGCCGCGUGAAAAGCGACUGCGGUAGGGAUUGUAAACUUCUUGUGAAUAAAGAUAAUCCGACCCUCGAGAGGGUAGCUGAAGGUACUAGACGAAUAAGCACCGGCUAACUCCGUG